GUGCAGCAGGCGAGAAACCUCCGCAAUGCGGGCAACCGCGACGGGGGACCCCAGUGCCGUGGCAUCGCCACGGCUUUUCCGGAGUGUAAAAAGCUCCGGGAAUAAGGGCUGGGCAAGGCCGGUGGCAGCCGCCGCGGUAAUACCGGCGGCCCGAGUGGUGGCCGCUAUUAUUGGGCCUAAAGCGUCCGUAGCCGGGCCUGUAAGUCCCUGGCGAAAUCCCACGGCUCAACCGUGGGGCUUGCUGGGGAUACUGCAGGCCUUGGGACCGGGAGAGGCCCGGGGGUACCCCUGGGGUAGGGGUGAAAAUCCUAUAAUCCCAGGGGGACCGCCAGUGGCGAAGGCGCCCGGCUGGAACGGGUCCGACGGUGAGGGACGAAGGCCAGGGGAGCGAACCGGAUUAGAUACCCCCGUAGU
rnacentral:rRNA from 1 species